rnacentral:lncRNA from 1 species
CAGGAUCCGAAUUGGUAAAGACCAUGUCUUCAGGGGGUUUUAUUCCACCAAGAACCAUUGCGCCGCCACCGAAGUCCAUCCCUCCAUAACACAAAGAGAAGGAAUCACUAAUUACAUGUUUCUCAACAAGCUGAUCCACGCACCGCCACCAAAGUCCAUCCCUCCGUAACACAAAGAGAAGGAAUCACUAAUUACAUGUUUCUCAACAAGCUGAUCCACUAUACCGAGAUCCCCGCGACCCAAGCCCAUUAUACCAUCAGCGUGUUGGCUGUAAAGAUCACCAGUUUCCCUAUUUUCACAUCCAAAAACAGCUCUCUGGGGUGCAAGCUCACUUUGGUUUCCAAAGGACACAAUGUCCUCUCCAAGCACCCCGCUACUAGAACUCAUCUCAGCAUACUGUCUUUCGUAAAUGCAUUGCUCCCUCUCAUUGUCACAUGUACAGUCAAUAUUACAUUUUACAGGUUGAUAUGUGCUUGAGCUGGGGUGCAAGCUCACUAAGGUUUCCAAAGGACACGAUGUCCUCUCCGAGCACCCCGCUACUAGAACUCAUCUCAGCAUACUGUCUUUCAUAAAUGCAUUGCUCCCUCUCGUCGUCACAUGUACAGUCAAUAUUACAUUUUACAGGUUGAUAUGUGCUUGACAUUUCUGGCUGAAAUCUAGGAUCCUAAAUAAGACAAUAUUCAGAGACUUGAGAAAAUGAUAGAAACCAAAAUGCAAUAGAAUUUAAGUGGUGAAUUUAAAAAGUUUUUUCAACUAUAUAUGCCACCAGUGUGUAAUCUUAUUGGCUACAAACUUAUCAAGAUAAGUAAUUGGUUUUAUUUAAUUAUUAUUACAGGUCAAAUAAGCAAUAUGCCUC